rnacentral:snoRNA from 1 species
ACCUCAUGAUUUGGGAAUUGCAUUAACUUAUUGUUGAAACGUUUCCAAGCCUCAUAUAAUGGUUUACAAUUAAGUUGGAGAAAGUUAGUGAUUUUAUCCCUUAGUU